rnacentral:lncRNA from 1 species
AAAUCAACCAACAUCAAGAACAAAAAAUUCGGAGCCCUAGCUCUCAUUCUUCACCCCAUCUGCACUGGUUCACACCAGAUUGGAACCCUAGCUCUCCUUCUUCCCUACCAGACUAUUCGGGCCAAUCACUUCACACUAACAACAUCGUUCAUCUAUCCAACAACGGAGGCGAUUACAUACGGUGGCCCCCGCAGUGGAUACGGUUCCGACAUGACCCUCAAGAUCUACGUCUACGAUGAAACUGAAAUUGGCAGCGUUAAAGAGCUGUUGUACGGACAUGACUAAAUCAUGACUCAAGGGCCGAUUGGGCACUCAGUGAAAAAGAACCAUGCAAGGAGACCAGAUUUGCGCCACUAUGCUCCUAGGCCUCAGAUAUUAAGUCAAAACUAGGUUGGAUUGACGAGCAUGAGAUAUAAUUUGCCACAACUAGCUUAGCUUUGGGAAAGGAAGUGUCCAGCAACAAGAAAGAGCAUAGAAAACUGCCAUUCAAGCGCUUAUCAAUGCCUCAGCCACCCAAAGUCUUCUUUGGUCUAUCAAUGGUUGCAGGUUUGUAGACUUGAGUUUUAGAAGUGCAGUAUUAUCAUCCAUUAAAUUUUAAGUGUCUUGCAUUCUAGCAAGUCAACCAUGUAUCAAACUCGAUCACUGCAAGUAUGGUUUAGUUAGUCUUUCUUCUUUUGGAUUCUUAGUUGUGAUGUAAUUUUGCAUGCAUGAGGUUCUUUUUUUUUUUUUUUUAAUUUUAUGCAGAUACUAGUUUUUUCAAAAACAUGAUAGCUUAACAUCAUUAGAGUUGCAAUGCAUAUGAGUGAACGGUUGGUGGUAGAGAACCGGAAAAAGUAUUAAAAUGUUAAGGCUCCUUCAAGAUUUUCUGAAUUUAAAAUAGAGUCUUAUCUUUAAACAAUUGUUUUCCAUAGGGAGAUUAACGAAGUGCAGAAGGGGAGUUGGUGGUGUUCCGAUUUCACUCACGGAUAGCAUCCGAAGCAAACAAAGUAUUUAUUGUCGUUGAGUAACUGAUUAAGGUUUGGUUGAGGUGAUUAUGCAUUAGCUCCUACAACAGGCACCAUUAUGUAAGCCAUUGGAGCAUAUCGGUUUGCUGCUGUUGCAAGUGCUGCUAGUAGAGUGAUGUAGGUUCUGUUGCACUUGUUGCAUCAUUUGGAGAUAUCUUUUGAUAGAAGCUUAUGUAUUUGGCAUUUAAAUUUUAAAUUUAUGUAUGGAUUUUGGUUUAUUAUUGUUAAUAUUAUUUGGUUUUUAAGUUUUCUUA